rnacentral:rRNA from 1 species
CCUAAAUAAAGGACUAAACCAGAUGGAACCUACCCUAAUGUCUUUGGUUGGGGCGACCGCGGGGAAUUAAAAAACCCCCACGUGGAAUGGGAGCACCCCUCCUACAACUAAGAGCCACAGCUCUAGUAAACAGAAAUUCUGACCAGUAAGAUCCGGCAAUGCCGAUCAACGGACCG